rnacentral:tRNA from 1 species
CCCGUUGAUCCGGCGCGGUUUUGUUGCCGAAGCGCCAUAGUAAGGCGCAAAGAACGCCGCGUUCGAUUCGUGACGUUGGGUCC